AUGGCGCGGUACAAGUACACCGUCGCUGGGUUCUUUGUCCUCCUCUCCAUUGCAGCGAUGCUGCAGCCGUCUGAGGCGAGGGUGCAGCCCGCCGUUGCAAACCAAGAAGAAGCCACAGCCACCACCACGGCCAAUGGAGGCUCCCCGUCUCUUCCCGGCCUGCCGUUGCCUCAGAUCCCCGGCAUGCCUAGCCUACCACCCAUAUUCCGCUCCCUUUUCCCAGCACUUCCUCAGAUCCCCGGCUUGCCGCCGCUGUUCGGGCCACUCCCUGGUGGUGCACCGGGCGCCCCGCCAUCCGGUGCACUGCCUAGCCUCCCACACUUGCCACUUCCCACCGGCUCGCCAAGCCCGCCACCGCCGAAGGAGUGCCUGACACCGCUCACGGCCAUGAUAUCGUGCAUGGACUAUCUCACCAACGUCACGGUGUUCUCGCCCCCGACCGCUUGCUGCGAUGGCCUCAAGUCGGUCGUCAGCACCGCGCCGAUCUGCCUCUGCCACGGUCUUAACAACAAUGGCGGCAUGAGCAAGCUCUUCCCCAAGCCUAUCGACCCCAUCCGCAUGAUAAUCCUCCCUGCUAGGUGCGGCGCCAUGAUUCCCCCGCAGACGAUCUUCUCCUGCGCUA
rnacentral:rRNA from 1 species